rnacentral:rRNA from 1 species
ACUCAAAGGAAUUGACGGGGGCCCGCACAAGCGGUGGAGCAUGUGGUUUAAUUCGACGCAACGCGCAGAACCUUACCAGCCCUUGACAUCCCGGUCGCGGACUCCAGAGACGGAGUUCUUCAGUUCGGCUGGACCGGAGACAGGUGCUGCAUGGCUGUCGUCAGCUCGUGUCGUGAGAUGUUGGGUUAAGUCCCGCAACGAGCGCAACCCCCGUCCUUAGUUGCUACCAUUUAGUUGAGCACUCUAAGGAGACUGCCGGUGAUAAGCCGCGAGGAAGGUGGGGAUGACGUCAAGUCCUCAUGGCCCUUACGGGCUGGGCUACACACGUGCUACAAUGGCGGUGACAAUGGGAUGCUAAGGGGCGACCCUUCGCAAAUCUCAAAAAGCCGUCUCAGUUCGGAUUGGGCUCUGCAACUCGAGCCCAUGAAGUUGGAAUCGCUAGUAAUCGUGGAUCAGCACGCCACGGUGAAUACGUUCCCGGGCCUUGUACACACCGCCCGU